rnacentral:rRNA from 1 species
GACGUAGGGCGCGAGCGUUGUCCGGAUUUAUUGGGCGUAAAGAGCUCGUAGGCGGCUUGUCGCGUCGUCCGUGAAAACUUGGGGCUCAACCCCAAGCUUGCGGUCGAUACGGGCAGGCUAGAGUUCGGUAGGGGAGACUGGAAUUCCUGGUGUAGCGGUGAAAUGUGUAGAGAUCGGGAGGAACACCGGUGGCGAAGGCGGGUCUCUGGGCAUCUCCUGACGCUGAGGCGCGAAAGCGUGGGGAGCAAACGGG